rnacentral:rRNA from 1 species
GAUGAACGCUAGCGGCAGGCCUAAUACAUGCAAGUCGGACGGGAUCUAAGGUUAAGCUUGCUUAAUUUUAGUGAGAGUGGCGCACGGGUGCGUAACGCGUGAGCAACCUACCCAUAUCAGGGGGAUAGCCCGGAGAAAUCCGGAUUAACACCGCAUAACACAGCAAUCUCGCAUGAGAUCACUGUUAAAUAUUUAUAGGAUAUGGAUGGGCUCGCGUGACAUUAGCUAGUUGGUAAGGUAACGGCUUACCAAGGCUACGAUGUCUAGGGGCUCUGAGAGGAGAAUCCCCCAACUGGUACUGAGACACGGACCAGACUCCUACGGGAGGCAGCAGUAAGGAAUAUUGGUCAAUGGAGGGAACUCUGAACCAGCCAUGCCGCGUGCAGGAUGACUGCCCUAUGGGUUGUAAACUGCUUUUACUAGGAAUAAACCUUUUACGUGUAGAGAGCUGAAUGUACUAGAGGAAUAAGGAUCGGCUAACUCCG